UUCGACUCCUCAUCCUGCCCCGAGUAUCCGACGUGGCUGCAUCGGGAACCUUGAAAAGACUCUUGAGCUAGAUCCCUACAAUCUAGCGAAAAAGGGGAAAAAAUAAAGUGCAAAGAUCCUGCAACGCAAUAGAUCUUACGUAUACAAGAACAAACUCAAACACUCGAAGGAAGGAAGCCAAGGAAUCGGACCGUGAACCAUUGCCAUUGGAUAAGCCUCCAUCCCCGUCGUCUCAUUCUUCGGUGUUCGGGAGGGAUAGGCACGUGAUUUACCAGGAGAUGAUGUAGUACCAUCUGUUGCCGACGCCCUACCAGGACCAGGAGAUCAACCACCUCACCCUCGCCUUCUUUGUCAUCUCCGGUCUCCACCUCCUCUCCGCCCUCGAUCGCUUUUAUGCAGGACAAUUUUAGGCGUUCCAUGGUUCAAGCACUUCUCAAUUUCCUCCAGACAAUAAUGGGGUGUAACAAACAGAUUGUGCGCUUAAAUUUCGAUCAUUCUGUUUUCUGCUGUGUUUGUUAUAAUAGCAUUCUGUUCUACGACUUUAUCUAAGGUUUUGAGUCACAACGGCAGUCACUUGGCAAGCACAUAUGGUGCCCUAGCCAUACUAAAGAUUGUUGGAUACAACUUCUCAAGUAUCGACUUUGAGACAGUAUUGACAUCAAUGAGAAACCUCCAACAGCCAGAUGGGGAGUAAGCUUUACAACUCCUAUUGUGGAUUCACUUCAUUCAGCCUCUUGGGAGAAUCCGUUGAGCACGAUUGCGUAGUCCGAAUCUCAAUCCGCAUAUGAAGUUUGCAGCGUAUGGAAUGCCCGUAUACUAAUGAAUUGUUAGUAAUUGUUCGAAUUAAUCCUUCCCAUUGACAUAAUUGUAGCUAUUUAAAUGUCAUACAAGGGAAGUCCGAGGAGUGUCAGGUUGGAUCAGUAAAGAAUGCAAGUAGCAACAAGGUCUGGGUCAGCUUUGGUUGUAUGGCAAUAAUAAAAUCAUGCUGCUGCAUACUCUUAAAGAGCUGAUAAAGGGUGGUGUGUAUGAUGAUUCUACAGUGUCUGUAGCUUUUGGCUUUUACUACCACGAGACAUUUUCACGGGCAUUUGCCUCCUUUGUUGUUUAUGAAAAGCCGAAGGUGGCGCAUCUCAUAAACCCCCCUUUUCCAACUUUGUCACUUUGUUGAAUGGUUCAUCAUGCAAACCCUAACCUACCACCUACCUUUUGGCCCACAAAUACCCUAUUUCUUCGUGCUUUGGUAACUGUGAUUUCACCAGAUGCCGGGGGUUUUAUGCUAUCACCGGGCUCCUUGGUAUUCGAUUGC